rnacentral:lncRNA from 1 species
GCCUGAUAUUUGCAUUUCUAACAUCUUCUGGGGUGAAGCUGCUGGUCUAGAAACCACUUUGACAUAAACUGAAAACUUUCCAAGCUCCCUUCUUUUUCUGUGCACCUAAAAUCUAAACACUCUUGUUUCUCCUGUGAAUAUAGCACUUAGGAUCUUAUGCAAUAGUGGCUGGGGUCGGGGUCUCCAGGAUCCUUCCUUACACUUAUCUAGCUCCUGUCCGACAAGGGCACUUUGUGCACCAUUCAUUAACAACUCACAGGGUUAGGUCAAGGCCAUCCUUGAGGAUGAAGUAAUCACCCACAUUCACAGAGGCUGUCAGGGUAGAGCUUGGACUAGAUCCCACCAUGCUUUGUGGUGGACUUUGCUGAGCUCUGUGCAACCUGGUCCCAGCCCUGACGUUAUUUAGAGCAGAGAUUUUUUUCCCCCUUGUCUAUCCAGAAAUAUACCUGGAAGGGAGACAUUCCCUGCUCAGACUAGACCUUGGGUGAGUGGGA